rnacentral:lncRNA from 1 species
AAUCUACCUUUUCUUUUCAAUCUCAGUCUUCAUUAACUUGUCCACCACCAUCAUCUCCCUCUUCCCCACCUUGGGGCGUUACAUUACUUCAACCUCUACAAGAGGCCAUCCCACUACCAUCCGUUCCUCCAUCGAUUCCACAUUCUCCUUUGCAUCGUCUGUCCAACUCAUCAUCAACUGCAUCCUCCUUUUCUCGGUCUACCUCAACACCUUCUCCUAUGACCGAUCCCACUCCAAGCCCUUUUAGCAUUAACGACUCUGCACC